rnacentral:rRNA from 1 species
UACGUAGGGUGCGAGCGUUAAUCGGAAUUACUGGGCGUAAAGCGUGCGAAGGCGGUCUGUUAAGACCGAUGUGAAAUCCCCGGGCUUAACCUGGGAACUGCAUUGGUGACUGGCAGGCUUUGAGUGUGGCAGAGGGAGGUAGAAUUCCACGUGUAGCAGUGAAAUGCGUAGAGAUGUGGAGGAAUACCGAUGGCGAAGGCAGCCUCCUGGGCCAACACUGACGCUCAUGCACGAAAGCGUGGGGAGCAAACAGG